rnacentral:lncRNA from 1 species
AUGAGGAGAGGGAGAGAGAAUAACAGAAAGACAGAGAGAGAGAGAGAAUGGGGAGAGAGAAUAAGAGAAAGAAUAAGGGAGAAAGAAAUAGAGAAAGAGAGGAGAGGAGAGGAGAGGAGAGAGGAGAGGAGAGGAGAGGAGAGGAGAGGAGAGGAGAGGAGAGAGAGAGAGAGAGAGAGAGAGAGAGAGAGAGAGAGAGAGAGAGAGAGAGAGAGAGAGAGAGAGAAGGGG